rnacentral:rRNA from 1 species
CCUACGGGAGGCAGCAGUCGAGAAUCAUUCACAAUGGGGGAAACCCUGAUGGUGCGACGCCGCGUGGGGGAAUGAAGGUCUUCGGAUUGUAAACCCCUGUCAUGUGGGAGCAAAUUAAAAAGAUAGUACCACAAGAGGAAGAGACGGCUAACUCUGUGCCAGCAGCCGCGGUAAUACAGAGGUCUCAAGCGUUGUUCGGAAUCACUGGGCGUAAAGCGUGCGUAGGCUGUUUCGUAAGUCGUGUGUGAAAGGCGCGGGCUCAACCCGCGGACGGCACAUGAUACUGCGAGACUGGAGUAAGGGAGAGGGAACCGGAAUGCUCGGUGUAGCAGUGAAAUGCGUAGAUAUCGAGAGGAACACUCGUGGCGAAGGCGGGUUCCUGGACAUUAACUGACGCUGAGGCACGAAGGCCAGGGGAGCGAAAGGGAUUAGAUACCCCAGUAGUC